UACGUAGGUGGCAAGCGUUGUCCGGAAUUAUUGGGCGUAAAGCGCGCGCAGGUGGUCUUUUAAGUCUGAUGUGAAAGCCCCCGGCUCAACCGGGGAGGGUCAUUGGAAACUGGAAGACUUGAGUGCGAGAGAGAAGAGUGGAAUUCCAUGUGUAGCGGUGAAAUGCGUAGAGAUAUGGAGGAACACCAGUGGCGAAAGCGGCUCUUUGGCUCGCAACUGACGCUGAGGCGCGAAAGCGUGGGGAGCAAACAGG
rnacentral:rRNA from 1 species